UGAGGAAUAUUGGUCAAUGGACGAGAGUCUGAACCAGCCAAGUAGCGUGCAGGAUGACGGCCCUAUGGGUUGUAAACUGCUUUUGUUUGGGAAUAAUCGACAUUACGUGUAAUGUUUUGCAUGUACCAUUCGCAUAAGGACCGGCUAAUUCCGUGCCAGCAGCCGCGGUAAUACGGAAGGUCCAGGCGUUAUCCGGAUUUAUUGGGUUUAAAGGGAGUGUAGGCGGUUGGUUAAGCGUGUUGUGAAAUGUAGAUGUUCAACAUCUGACUUGCAGCGCGAACUGGCUGACUUGAGUACACACAACGUAGGCGGAAUUCAUGGUGUAGCGGUGAAAUGCUUAGAUAUCAUGAAGAACUCCGAUUGCGAAGGCAGCUUACGGGAGUGUUACUGACGCUUAAGCUCGAAGGUGCGGGUAUCGAACAGG
rnacentral:rRNA from 1 species